UGCCAAUUCUUAUGUUUUGUACAAUAAGAGAUGAGGUGUAAAGGUGUUUUGUGUUCAACAGGGGGUUCAGCUUAAUUAUUAUUGAGUGAGUGCUCAGAGAAGGUGAAAAGCCUGUAUAGUUGCGCUCUUUUGUUGGACGGCUACACUGAAGAGUCUAGUUGUUUGAGAGUACAACUUAAAGCUGGUGGUAAAUUUCAUCAAAGGCUAAAUAUAUGAGGGGACUAAUAGCGAACAAGUACCAUGAGGGAAAGUUGAAAAGAACUCUGACGAGAGAGUUCAAUAGUACGUGAAACCAUAUUGAGUAAAACAGAUAACUGUGCUGUUAUGUGGUGUGCCUAUCAACAGUUUGUUUGGUGUUGUGUUACCUUGAGUGUAGGUUGUCUAUUCAAUUGAUCGCUCGGGGGUUGCAUAACCGGAGAUUCUGUGCAAUAGUGCACAUCCGAACAUUGAGAAACCAUGCUGCUGCGGCAUCGGAGUGCAACAGUCCGUACUAAGUGCGCAGUUGUACGUUGGGUGCAGCUGGCUGGCGUAGUUUAGCUGUGAGUCAGCUGUAGACUGCGUUUAUGACAUAUUCCUGUUGUAUCUGCGAAUUGGUUUAUUCCUUUUUGCGGUGAGCAUGUAAUUGUCAGUAAGUGGUCCACCAUCAAUGUUUAGCAUUAGUUAUUUGACCCGUCUUGAAACACGGACCAAGGAGUUCAAAUGGCACGCGAGUCAUUGGGUUUUAACACCCGAAGGCGAAGUGAAAUGCAAAUUUAUUGUUAUUUGUGGUUGUUCCAUGAUUAAGCGAUAAGCUACUCAUGCUUUCUGGCAUUUGUAGACUACAAGCGUGAUGU
rnacentral:rRNA from 1 species